UGGACAUCACCAUGGCAUGUCAAGGACAUAGUGAAUCACUUUUAUCAUGUUGCAAAGAAGUGAUGACCCAUCUGCCUUCCAAGGGCCUUUGGACCUCCUCCAUGUUGCUGUCGAGCACGGUUGUCUUGCAGCCAGUCAGACAAAGACCUGGACUGAGAGAGGGAGUGGGACUCGCUGCAUCCUCACUAACACUGUGACAAACAAAUGGGGGCAGAAAUGUCCCCAAGUACCUGCACUUCAGGAUGGACAUCGCCAUGGCAUGUCAAGGACAUAUUGAACCACUUCAGACAUGUUGCAGAGAAGUGAUGACCUCUCUGCGUUACAUGGAGCUUUGGACCUCAAUCUUGUUGCUGUUGUGACCAUCAGUGCCUUGCAGUUGGACAAAGACCUGGGCUGAGAGAGGGAGCAGAUUGUUUUCUCUACUAUUGUGGAUGGACAUCAUUGUGGCAUGUGUCAGGGACAGUGAACCACUUUUAUCAUGUUGCAGAGACGUGAUGGCCCAUCUGCAUUUCAUGGGCCUUUGGACCUCCUCUAUGUUGCUGGGAUGAGCAUAACUGCCUUGCAGGGACCAGGAUUACACCCUCACUAACACAUGGGGGCUAAAGAUGU